CCUACGGGUGGCAGCAGUGAGGAAUAUUGGUCAAUGGACGCAAGUCUGAACCAGCCAUGCCGCGUGCAGGAAGACGGCGCUAUGAGUUGUAAACUGCUUUUGUACGAGGGUAAACGCAGAUACGCGUAUCAGUCUGAAAGUAGCGUACGAAUAAGGAGCGGCUAACUCCGUGCCAGCAGCCGCGGUAAUACGGAGGAUUCAAGCGUUAUCCGGAUUUAUGGGGUUUACAGGGUGCGUAGGCGGUCGGCUAAGUUAGAGGUGCAAUCCCGAGGCUCAACUUCGGAAUUGCCUCUGAUACGGUUCGGCUAGAGCGUAGUUGCGGUAGGCGGAAUGUAUGGUGUAGCGGU
rnacentral:rRNA from 1 species